UACGUAGGGGGCAAGCGUUGUCCGGAAUCAUUGGGCGUAAAGAGCGCGUAGGCGGUUUGUCGCGUCUGCUGUGAAAACUCGGGGCUUAACCCCGGGCCUGCAGUGGGUACGGGCAGACUAGAGUGCGGUAGGGGAGACUGGAAUUCCUGGUGUAGCGGUGAAAUGCGCAGAUAUCAGGAGGAACACCGGUGGCGAAGGCGGCGACCUGGGUAGAUACUGACGCUGAGGCGCGAAAGCGUGGGGAGCAAACAGG
rnacentral:rRNA from 1 species